rnacentral:lncRNA from 1 species
GUAUGGAGGGAGGGGUUCUCUCUCAUUGAUUGAUCUGAACCGUGCUUUUCUUCUCCCCAUUUUCCCACCCAAUUUCAGGAUGAAAAAGCACUCUGACAUCUUGAAAGCUGGCAGCUCUCUGUUUGGAAAAUCUCUGCCUAGUGAAAAAAUGUACCGACAAGAUUACUAAGUAACACAGUCUUCUGGGAAUGCCUUAUCAAUGCCAGCUAUUUGAAGAGCACCCAAAGUCAAACUAGUGCUCCGCGCUGGCAGUCUGGAAAAGGCAGAUGUAUAAACCAAAAAGGAUGGAGUUCAGAGACCUUCCAUGUUGAUGAACAAGAACACAUUCACCUGCUGUAGGGGUAGGUGUACCCCAAAACUCCACUGAUACAGAAGCUUCUAUACUCAAGACCCUUCUAUACUCAAGACCCUGGAUCUUACCCUAUAUAUCUCUUCAUCUGGCUAUUUAUUUGCAUCUUUUAAUAUAUCCUUUGUAAUAAACUAGUAAUCUAGAAAGUAAACUUUUCCUGAGCUCUGUAGGCCAUUCUAGUAAAUGAUUAAACCUGAGGAGGAGUUAUGGGAACCUUUGAUUUGUAGACAAGUUGGA